CCUACGGGAGGCAGCAGUGAGGAAUAUUGGUCAAUGGUCGGGAGACUGAACCAGCCAAGCCGCGUGAGGGAGGAAGGUACAGAGUAUCGUAAACCUCUUUUGUCAGGGAACAAAGGCGGGGACGUGUCCCCGGAUGAGUGUACCUGAAGAAAAAGCAUCGGCUAACUCCGUGCCAGCAGCCGCGGUAAUACGGAGGAUGCGAGGGUUAUCCGGAUUUAGUGGGUUUAAAGGGUGCGAAGGCGGUCUGUUAAGUCAGCGGUCAAAGCCCGGGGCACAACCCCGGCCCGCCGUUGAAACUGGCAGUCUCGAGUUGGAGAGAAGUAUGCGGAAUGCGCGGUGUAGCGGUGAAAUGCAUAGAUAUCGCGCAGAACUCCGAUUGCGAAGGCAGCAUGCCGGCUCCACACUGACGCUGAGGCACGAAAGCGUGGGUAUCGAACAGGAUUAGAUACCCCAGUAGUC
rnacentral:rRNA from 1 species